rnacentral:misc_RNA from 1 species
UUUCCGUAGGUGAACCUGCGGAAGGAUCAUUAUUGUAUAACCGAGGUGCGAGGGCUGUCGCUGACCCGAAAGGUCGUGCACGCCCGAGUGCCCUCACACACAUCCAUCUCACCCCUAUGUGCACCACCGCGUGGGUCCCCCUUUGGCUUGUUCGGAGGGGGGCUUACGUUUUCACACAAACUUUGUAUGCAGUGUAGAAUGUAUUUUUUGUUUUUGCGAUCACGCAAUCAAUACAUCUUUCAACAACGGAUCUCUUGGCUCUCGCAUCGAUGAAGACGCAGC